GAUGUGCAGGUGCAGAAGCGGGAGAUGGAGGCUUCCAGGCGGGUAACGUUAGAAUGUGGUGACAGCGGUUAAAAACGGAACAUAAUAAGUUUACCACUGCAUUUAUAAUGCAAAGUAGAAUGGAGACUUUCACUUGCUGAAAGUUGAUUAAAUCUGUGCAAGGCGCCUCAUAAAGCCACUUGGCAUAUCCGAAACCGAAUGAAAUGAUAAGCAGCCGGAGUGCAACAGAUUACCAGUCAGAAACUCCUGGUGGAAUUCCGGACCCUUUACCACGAGCGCCUUCGACGCAUUGACCAAUCAUAUCACAGCCGGGAGGAGGCUCUGCAGAGCAAGGUGGGUGUGCUGCAGUCGUUUGUGCGGGACCUGAGUGAGCAGAAUGAGGUUCUGAUCCAGGCGCUGGAGGCUGAGGAGGCGGAGGGCCGGGCAGUGGAGGGGAGAACAGUCAGCCUUCACAAAGAGCUGGAGCGGCGCCGAUCCUUGGCUCUGUGCCUGAUGCCAGUGGACCUCGUGGGAACCACGGCAACGUUUUUCCGGUCCCCCUGCUGUUGAGACGUUGGCACAGUCCCUCAGGUCCUUUCUUCCUCCCUCCUCUCUUGUGGCUGGCAGGCAGGCAGGCGAUUGGCAGAAUGGCAGGGUCUGCGGCAUGGAGGCAGGCAGCAGUGCCCAUGGUAGACAUUCCUCAUCGCAGUGGCUGCCGGCCGGAUUGAUGAGAGCUGGAUGAAAAUGGUGUGUUAGAGGAGGAGGAGGGGGGUGGGGGGGUUGGCACAAAAACAGGCACCAGCUUCACACCCUCCCCUCCCCACAGAACAGCUUGAUUUGUUUUGUCUUGUUUUUCCCCUCUUUGUUUUGUUUGUAAUCUUUCCCGUUCCUUUCAUUUCGUCCGUCGCGCUAAUUAACAGAGCAAACUUUUGUUGUUCUAAUUGGUCAUUUGAAGCACUUGAUGGUCUUUGUUUGCACUUGGCUUUCUUCAUAUUUGCCAAGCAACCCGCGACGGAUGCCCAAUCGUGUUGAUUUGCUCUUGAUCGUUGUGUACCAUCUCUCGCCCCCUUCCAUUUUUCCGCGACAGAUGCCACCGCGUUCCCGCUGGUACACCUCUCGAAGAUCGUGGGUAUCGAAUCACCGCGCUCCUCGGGCAUCCUCAGAAGCGGUGACUUUCCCGCAAAUCCGUAAACGCCACCUUCCAUAUGAAAAAGACAUGGUGCCUUUUCAUCUCCUGUGUUUUCCUAGGGUGCGCCGCGACUGUCGAUGAGCAGGUUGGCAUGGCGUACGCUGCCUGGCUGGUUGCCUGGCACAGGGGUUGUGCUUGAGAAGGGAGAGCGAGAGAGAGAGAGAGAGAGAGAGAGAGGGGGGCGCUUCUUUUUGUCCCACCCCUCAGUCGUCUCUAGGACAACACCACAAGCUGCAAGUUUCUCUGUGUUGGUUGUUCUCGAAUUUCGACUUACCCCACCAGUCCCUUGUGGCAGAGCCCAUUUCCUUCAUCUCCCCUUGUCCCUGGCUCCUUCGCCAUCCCCCUAGCAUCCUGCGCUGUGGGCCACCUAUCAUCUUUUGUUUUUUGUUUUCAAACCGAUACCUCCUCCCCCCACUCCUUGCCACCAUGCUAUGCCAAGCGCUCCAUCACAACCCCCAAGGUGUCCCCUGAAAUUCCUCCAGGUGCACCGCUCUUCUCUUCCCAUCGUCAGAAGGCUCCUUUCUUCUGUAAUCUGGGGCAGCAGAUGUUCUCCUCUUCUCCUCUGCGGUGGCAUUGACUUGACAUUGAGCCUUGUCUCCAGAACCCCAUCCGCAUCCGCACUCAAACUUCUACUAUUUGUAAAACACCCACACUCCCCCAAAAAAGUCCCUCCCCUGGCAUGGCACUAGCUGCCAAAUCAGGCGGGGGUCCUUCUGUCUCCCUGUCUACAUCUAGCCACCUACCCCCGAGAGCGAACGCGAGUCCGCCCUGGCGCUACCACUGAAUGGAUGGCACUGUGCCAGCUUCUCUCUGCCAUCAUCUGCAUUCGCUGCUUGUUUCUCUCACUCGCCCGCCCCCUCUCUUCUGUCUCUUCCUCUCUUACCCUCCCCUCGUUCUACUCUCUUAGCCCCACACCCCCGAGCCCCCUUUUGUUCUAUAGGCUUGACAUUAAUUAACAUACGGGUUAAUUGACUCUAAAAGCUGAUGAAUUGCUCUUUAGAUCUCCCAUAGGCUGGCUAGCUGUGUGUCGCGCCCUGCGCCCGCGCCCCCUUCUGCCUGGCACCGCCUGUGCCUCUACCUUGCCCUAGCUAGCCUCCACGUUGGCUAGCGCUAGUAGAGGAGCAGAGAGAUAGCCAGCCCUGCAGCCAGCAGCUCUGGUGUAGUGUAGUGUUAUAGACGUGAGUGAGCAGUGCCCCUACCCCACUGUACGCUGGGAAGGAUCUCAGGCUGCUUAUUGGACUAUAGCUGAUCGCAGUUGACGUUUUGCUGUCUGAUCCCACCGCAGGAUGUUGCAAUGGCAUUUUGUUAUAAAUAAUCAAAGUCCUCCUGCAACCACCUCCCACCCCUUUUUCUAUCUACCCUUCUCCUCCCCUUUUCACCCUCCCUCUCUCUCUCCACCCUCUCUGUCCCUUUCUCUCUUUCUCUCUCUAAACUAACACACUUUCACACCAGCAGAUACCAACUCUCCUGUCCUGUCUUGCCUUUCCACUCUUUUCUAUGACCAUCUGUUUAGCCUUUUACCAUUUUUAUUAAAGAACUUCUAGGAUUAAAUGGAUAACGAAUCAAAGUUGUAAAUAAAUUGCCAUGUUUUUGGUCAUUUUUCUAAUAGCGCUCCUU